rnacentral:lncRNA from 1 species
CCACAUAUAAUAUAAUCAUGGUAUCACAGCACAGAUAGUUGUAUUGUGUGUGCCUUGUAUCAUGAGAGGUAAUGAUUUGAAUACCAAAUAUGACUCUAGCAAAAAGAUGUUAAAAUAAUAUGCUAGUCAGAAGUCAUACCAUGUCCGUGACGAUCAUCAGGUGUUGGAUAGCAACUCAUAGAGAGCUGGUGAAGAAAUAGGUAUACAAAUUCCGUUGGAUCUGCAACUGCAAAGUCCUUGAAAUAUUGUAUGAAUCUUCAUCUUCUAGCUCACUGUAAUAUCCUGAACCCGAGUCUCGUCAAUGGUGCUUUAGUUCAAUCAUGAAGGUCGUUGAGUCCCCUAAGAUGUAGAGUCCUGAACUUGAAGAUUCUAUUUCCAUCAUCUUCAUAACCUUCUCUUUUGAAGUAACUCUAAGCAACCAAAUUGGCUUGUCCCUCGUAACAGAGCCAAAAACAUCCAGUUGGAAUCUAAAUACCCGACAAGUACUAAGUACUGAAUUGUCUUUAGGUCAGGGUAUCAGAAUCCGCACAAUCUGCUUUCAA